UACAAAUGGCUUAGUGGUUUGAGUGUUGAACUAUGACUCUGAAGACCAGGGUUUGACUCCCAGUUCUGCCA